GCUGGAGCACAGCGGGACUGGGGGAAAGGGAAAGCCGGAUACCUAGUCAGUUGUACAACUGAAUGCAUUCAACUGAAAUGUGUCUUCCACAUUUAACCCAACCCUUCUGAAUCAGAGAGGUGCGGGGGGCUGCCUUGCAGUUUUUUACGAUUGCUUACACACUAAAAUUGAUCUUUUCCCACAAUUAGCAAAACCUUACACUCAAGGAGCAAAACACAAGGCUAGAUUUGCACAACUGUAAGCACAUUGUAAGCUUCACACUAUUUGCAAAACAUUACACACACUUGUAUACAUCAGACACAGAAGUAUAUCAUGAUGUCACUUCCUUGCAAUUCCAAAGCACUGACUGUCAAAUUACCACACCUAUGAGCCAAUCUGUUAAACACAGCAAUCAGGUGCACAAACACAUGAUUGCUAAAUUGUAGACACACCAAUCAGGUUUAAGCACUAUAAAAAUGCAGCAGGUAGGUUCACCUGCCUUCAACCAAAAUGGAAGGAGUCAGAAGAAGAGUGAGGGUGAGAGGAGGAGUACACAGAGGAGGAGAAGGAGGUAGAGGUAGAGGCAGAGGCUGAGCCAGAGGUCGAGGAAGACCUGAAACAGGAGGAGAACGUGCACAAAGAAGAAGAGGACCAAACUUAUCAAAUGACAUUCGUGCAACACUAGUGGACCAUGUUGUGAACCACGGAUUGACGCUGAGGGAGGCUGGACUGAGAGUUCAGCCAAAUCUUAGCAGAUAUACAGUGGCAUCUGUCAUAAGGACAUUUCGACAGGAAAACAGUUAAAAGAAGAUCUGUCUACAGUUACAGUAAUCAGCCGCUUAUUGUAUGCACCAUAUCAGCACUUGUGAUACCCCUUCCUGUGACAUUGUACAGUAAGUUACAUGUAUUAUUCUCUACAUAGAUUGAGGGUCGGGAACGACAAGGAGGAAGGGGGCCCAUAUUCACGCAAGAACAAGAGCGAGAGAGAUAAUAAACAUGGUUUUGCCCAAUAAUGCUAUCAGGCUCAGAGAACUACAAGCCAACAUUAUCGGUGACCAUGCCAUUUUCAAUAAUGUCCAUCAGGUCUCUCAGUCAACACUGGCACGCAUCCUGAAAAGACAUCAGGUUCAAAUGAAACAACUUUAUCGAGUGCCUUUUGAGCGGAAUUCAGAGAGGGUCAAACGGCUGCGGCAUGAGUAUGUGGAGGGAGUUUUGCAGAUGGAUGCUGAGGAAAUCCUGCAUGAAUUCAUAUAUAUUGAGGCAGGGUUCAACCUCACAAAAGCAAGAAGGAGAGGCAGAAAUAUCAUUGGCCACAGGGCUAUAAUCAAUGUCCCAGGGCAACGUGGGGGUAACAUCACCCUUUGCGCUGCCAUUUCACAGCAUGGGUUUCUCCUCCGUCAUGCCAAAAUGGGCCCUUACAACACACCUCACAUUCUCGCAUUUUUGGACCGAUUGCACCACAUCGUCACAGCAGGUAAUGAAAUGCACCAGAUGCAAUACACUGUCAUCUGAGACAAUGUGUCAUUCCACCGCUCUGCGUUGGUCCAGAACUGGUUUCAACACCAUCCACAGUUGACAGUACUAUACCUUCCACCAUACUCUCCGUUUCUAAACCCUAUCGAAGAGUUUUUCUCUGCAUGGCGGUGGAAGGUUUACGAUCUCCAGCCCCAGGCUCAGGUACCCCUCAUUCAGGCCAUGGAGAACGCCUGUGACCAAGUCGACGCCGCAGCUGUGCAAGGAUGGAUUCGACAUUCAAGACGGUUCUUCCUGCGUUGUCUUGCUAAUGAGGAUAUUGCUUGUGAUGUUGAUGAAAUUCUCUGGCCAGAUCCAGCUAAGCGAAGAGAUAAUAUAUAGUAUGUUUACUGUCGUAGUUUCUGUACAAUAUUGUCAGUUGUUUUCAGAUAAUUUUUAAUGUUUGUUGUUGUUAUUUACUGUAAUUGUAACCUGUACUGGAUACAGUAUUUUACGUUUGUCUGUUUGCUGAGCUAAGUGUUAUGCACACUACUGUAGUAGCAUGAAAACUGGGACAUGUUUUGUUGUGAUUUUCCAUGUUGACAUGUUGACUGAUUUGGGUAUAUGGAGAGAAAUAAAUGAUAUUUUCCUCAGUCUGCAGCAUUGGUCUUGUGUAGUGUUUGUAUAGUUGCACUUUCUCUGUGUACUUCAUUUACACUACUCUAACCACUGACAAUUAGACUU
rnacentral:lncRNA from 1 species